AUACUACCUUUGAUUUCUCCCCCAAAAAAACCUUACAAAAAAAAUAAAUAAGAAUAAAUAAAUAACUACCACUUUCCCUGGGUAAAGAUCUAAAGAUCUUAGAAAUGUUGGCACUAGUAGUGCACACAAGUGGGUCUUUGUCCUCAACUCCCUGCCAGACUGCUAACUAGUUUUCUGGUCAAGGAGCCCUCAUCCCCAGGCUGCACCACUGGACCCGCAAGCCUUCCUGAUUCUAAACAGCACCCUUCCAUCUGAUGGUCUCAGGCCAAGUGCCCUCACCCCCACACCUUUUCCUCCACCAUCUCCGCAGCCUUCGAGACCCAAAAGCACAUUGGCACUAAAAAUAUCAAGUGACUAGGGCAGCAGCCUGACCUGGGAAAGAAAAGCCCCAGGAAAACAAGCCAUGCCCUUCCCCAAGCAAGGCCAUCCCCCCCAGGGCGGGCUGCACCACUGACACAGGAAGGGAGGGAGAAAAGGACCAGCCCCUCCCCUGGGCAAAUAUUCAGGGAACUCACUUUUUAAGCCUAAAAACACAGUGUUUCCCCUUCCAUUAAUCAUUCCCACACUUAAGAUAACUAUGUUCCUAAAUGAAAAAGAAAAAUCAUUUUCCAACUGAAAAUGCAGAAGGCAAGCCCUGUUCACAUGCGGUCUUUUGCAGAGCCCUUGAGGGGCUGAAUUUGGGAAGAGUUUGAGCCACUGAAGGAAAGGAGCGCAAUUAAAUAAGAACCUUCGUAAAAGCCCUUGGCAACUCAGAAAGGGAAACAAGGGUUUCUCCUCCUCCCUACUCCUCCCCCCCCCUUUUUUUUAAUAACUGAGUCAUGCGAAGGAAAUUUCAGACACUGGCGUGAACAGAGGUGGGACUUUACAGAGAUCUGCCAGCUGUUUCCUUAAAUAAUGCAAAUCUCCUUACCACCUGGCAACACUUCAAACAACUGUCUUCAGUCAUUACUUAGGGAAAAAGACAACAAGUCAUGUGAAGGGGGGGAUGUGAAUUCCAAAAUCAAUCCCAGUAAGACAGGAAUGACCCACCCUGCUCCCAAAAUUAAACUCUAAAAAAGUAAAUUGCACAACACUGUAAGUCAAUAUACUGCAAUAAAAUUCAAUUUAAAAAAUAAAUAACUUUCCACGUCAGAAUAUUAAUUUCCCAAGCAAGCAUUUAUCCUCAAUUAAAAAGACUUCGCAAACAUUUGAAAAAAAAGGAUGUGUCAGGAAUUCAAAUUCUACAUUUACCAUGGGUGUGGCCCUCAAUUUACAUUCUUAGAUUCAUGAAGUUUUGUCUUUUUAAAAGCUCAUGUUUUGCAAUCAUCCUGGCUAUUUUCCCAGGAGGAAAAAUAAAAUCAGUGGAAUAAGGAAGAAAGCUUAAAAUUUGCAAAUCAUCCUUGGUAUCUUAACCACUGAAGGUCCCUUGUUUGGGGGGAUAUAUGCUCUCAUACCAAAGUAGUCAAAAUUUCAAUAGGUCUAUUACAAACCAGAAGCCUUUGGUGAGGCUGCUAUAAGGGGCACUAUAAUAAAUCUUCUGGGAGUUCCUUUUGUGCAUCGGAAAAGAAUCUAACCAGGAACCAUGACGUUUCAGGUUCGAUCCCUGGCCUCACUCCGUGGGUUAAGGAUCCAGCGUUGCCAUGAGUUGUGGCGUAGGUCACAGACUCAGCUUGAUCUGAUGUGGCUGUGGCUAUGGUGUAGGCCAGUGGCUAUAGCUCCGAUUCGACCCCCUAGCCUGGGAACCUCCAUAUGUCACAGGUUCAGCCCUAAAAAAGCAAAAAAUAAAUAAAUAAAUCUUCAGCGCUCCAAAAUUUUUUCGGGGGGCGGGGCAGUCACCCAAAAUGAAAGGAGGUGGGAAGAGACAUGGACAGAGGUUUCCACCCUUCACCUUGACAAAACGUCUUAUUUUUAAAGUAACUUAGAAAGUAUUUAAUCACUAAUAAUUAGAUUUCAAGUUCUAUGGGCAUGAGAUCAUUUCGUCAUUACUGUUAUUGGCUCCCACCAGGCACGGCACAAGGCAAGGCGCACAGUGUGUCCAUGUGUGAACACACAGAUGUUCAAACUCGUCAUACGGACCAAAGAGAAAAUGAUGCACCAGUAGUUUGAUAGGCAUCUAAUGCCUCCUGGAAGGAAAUCGGUGACCGGGAAACAAGAGGGGGUGGGAGGGAAGUGUCUUCAGAAUCAGCUUAGAGUGACUUUUAAUCUGCACAUCCCCAGAGUUCUGUUGUGGCACAGCAGAAACAAAUCCAACUAGGAACCAAGAGGUUUGUCUCAUUGUUUCUGAGGGAUGUGCCUUAUCUCAGCUGUAUGCGUGGCAGGUGAAGGCUAAUGAUUGACAGCUUCGCUGUACAGCCUUGGCAGCUCCUUUAGGAUGAGGGGAGGGUCUGUAUCACCUGAAAUCUGAGGGAUGGGGGUGGAGACUGGGGUUCACCAGCUUUUAUAGACCUUCAUCUAAUGCCCGUCUUUUCAGCUCCAUAACCUGCGGCCACUGCUGCCAGCCCUGGGGCCUCCAAAUCCUGGACCCUUCUGGGGUCCUGGGGGCUAACUGACCCACUUCUCACUGCCAUCCCUCUUUCAGACCUUAGAGCCCAGCUACUUCUGCCCUACUCCCUCCAAAAAUCUGGUGAUGGCUCUUAGCUGCUGUGGUCUCUCCUGUUCUCCCACCUUUGUGGGGUUGGUAUCCUUCUUAUUCUUUGCUUUCCCCUUGUAGAGGUGUUCUGAAGGACUAGAGAGAUUUGUGAGUUUGAUCUACCAUGUUUCACCAAGUCACCGUGACUACUUUACUCGUAUGUCUCCCCCGCCAGAUCCCAAAAUCCAAAAGAACAGGGAUCACACAAACCUUAUUGACGUUAUGCCCCCAAACCUCGCACAGUCCAGAUGCAUGGGAGAUAUUUUCCUAUGUGUUGAAUGAAUGAAUAAUGCUAAAAGCAUAAAGAUCACAGAACCUGAAGCUUUCAGAGGCUCUGCAGACUUCUAGGUUAGCCUCUUUUCUGGCUCUGGGUCUCUCCAUCUUCAAGUAGGACCCAUACCUAAACCGUCAGAUUAAUCAUCGAAUCCCCUUUUCAAAAAAUCCCUAGAGCAGUGGCUUUCACACUUUUCUGACUCUUACCUAGAGUGCAGAAUCCAUUUGCCACGACAAUUCACUACACACUCACAUGGAGCUGACAAAAAUCACUUUUACAAAGUACUUACCCUCCCCACAUGGGCUGCUCUCCAAUGUCGGCAGCUCUAUUUAGUUCAGCUCUUAAAAGCCCUAGCGAUGAGUCACUAAAUUGAUUUCACAACCUAUCAAUGGAUCAUGAUCUACAGUUUGAAAAACAUCGUUAUUCAGCCCUUCAAGUCUCAGUUUGGACAUCACGUCCUCAGGGGAAGCCUCCCUUGCCUCCCACAAUGAGGGCUGCAUAUCCCACAGUAUCUGAUCUUUCUACACUAUUCUGUGAUGUAAUGGCCAGAAUGGGUGGGAGAGGAAGGAGACUUAAGAAAUCUCGGACAACUGAACAGGUGUGUCUAUACAAAAUCUUGCACACACAUGUUCAUAGCAGCAUUAUUUACAAUGGUCAAAAAGUGGAAGCAACCCAAAUGUCCACCAUGGAUGAAUGGACAUACAAAAUGGGGCCUAUCCAUAUAGUGGAAUGGUACUCAGCCAUACAAAAUGGGGCCUAUCCAUAUAGUGGAAUAGUACUCAGCCAUAAAAAGGGAUGAAGUGCUAAUGUAAGCUACAGCGGGGAUGAACCUUGAAAACAGUACAUUAAAUGAAAUAGACAUAAAAAAGAAUGUAUGGUUCUUUUUAUUUGAAAUAUUCAAAACAGGCCAAUUCAUAGAGACAAAAAGUAGAACAGUGGUUGCCAAGGGUGAGGAUAUAGGAAGAUUGGGGUUCGAGCUAAAAGGAAUGGGGUUUCUUCAUUGGGUGAUAAAAGGACUCCAAAAAAGGAAAGAUGCACAGAGCUGUGAAUAUGCUAAAAAGCACUAAUUAUAUACUUUAAAUGGGUGCACUGCACAGUAUAUGGAUUUUGGGGUGGGAGCCACACCUAUGGCAUGAGGAAGUUCUCAGGCCAGGGACUGAACCUGAGCCACACCAGUUGAUAAUGUCAAAUCAUUAACUGCUAGGCCACCAGGGAACUCCUGGAUUUUUAAUAAAGAAGCUUAAAAAUAACAGAGAUGGGGGGGGCAGGUGUUGCACAGGGGCCUGGGAAGUGGCCUAAAUUACAAGAGGCAGGGGAGAACCUUCCAGCACAAGGCCAGAUGCAUGGCAGAAGCUCCCUGAGUGUUUAGUGAAUUAAUAAUUGACUCCAUGACAAGGAUUGGCUGGGCUUUCUCGUCAGGUAGCUGCCUCCACCUUGGGUCAGCCUGAGGCCAACCAGGAGAAGGAGGAAAUGGCUUCAUUUUUAUUAAAUGGCCUUCCACUUUCACUUACACGAUAAUCCAGAUGUCAAUACCCUGGAGAAUAACAACCUGAAGGCUUUUCUAAAGAGAGAAAAACAUUAUUUUGUACUGUUCCAGUGUUCCAAAAAGAAUACGUUGACCAAAAGUAUAAUAGCCUGCCCUGCGGGUCCUCCCCUAAAGUCCUGCUAAUAACAGCUUUCUCAGCCACAGUGAGAAAGGCUGGUUGAAAACUGCUCUGCUCAGACUUAUGUCAUGCUCUGCAGUGGACCACAACCUCAAACUGCCAAUGUCAAGCUUAAUUCCUAUAAAAUUAUAGUUUGGGCUCUGCUACAGCAGCCAGCAGUUAACCACCCAGAGACCAGAAAUAAAAGGCUCAGGGAAACUAAAAUCACAAAAGCAGGGCUUCUGUGCUACUGCUACUUUUGUUAAUAAAAAUAUAAUUUUCACAUCCAUGUUAAAUACAUAGCUUAAUCCACAGUCUUUUUUUUUUUUUUUUUUUUUUUUUUUAGCCUAAGCAUAACUAGAUGGCGACCUCAUUGCAGGUCUUAUCAGUGUCUAAACACCGAAAUCCACAGCCACCUGCCCUGACAACUCACGCUUGCUAUAAAUAAGUGGGUAACAUUCUGCCCUGAGAGGUGAAAAUUCUGGUUGUCUAUUAAAAGUAAAACCAACAACCACAAAAACCCAUUGUUGGCCCAUUCUCCCAUCUUAGAAAAGACUUUCAACUUCAGAUUUAGAUGCCUACAGAGUGGCCCAAAGAAAAGCAGUGUCUAAACAAAAUUUAAGAACCAACGUGACAUAGAAGUAUCCCCAAACUCUCUUCCCACACUCUUUCAGUGCUAAGUGGAAGCUGUUCGCCAAUAUCUAAACACUUUUGAUUUACCCAUGAAUUUCUUUUUGACAUUUGAGACCAUGUUGUACAUCUAAUCAAUGUAUCAACAAAACAAGUACUGCUAUAUAAAGCACAAAAAAAGGUGGCCACAGAUAGAAAACUGUAUAUCAGGUCAAGGAAAUUCUAAUGAACUGGAGAAUAUAGACAGGUACCCAAACAAGGACGGAAGAUAAAUUCAAGAUGAAUAAAUUCUAUGACAUAAUAUAAGUAUAUAAUUAAAGAGUUAAGACACACUCGUUCACUUUUCUAAAGUUUCAAAUGACAGUUCCCAUCAUGGCUCAGCAGUAAUGAAUCAACUAGUAUCCAUGAGGACCUAGGUUUGAUCCCUGGCCCGCCUCAGUGGGUGAAGGACCCAGCAUUUCUUUUUCUCACGUUCUUCCUCCAUCA
rnacentral:lncRNA from 1 species